AGCUUUGAGCAGUGGCAGUAUCAUAGCCAAUGAGGUUUAUCUGAGGCGUGAUUAUUGCUAAUUGAAAACUUUUCCCAAUACCUCGCCAUGGCCACUUGAAAUAUAGUCGGCGUUGGCAAUUUUUGGUAGUCUCUAUGGAGA
rnacentral:snRNA from 1 species